AUACGGAGGGUGCAAGCGUUAUUCGGAAUCACUGGGCGUAAAGGACGCGUAGGCGGGUUGGCAAGUCAGGUGUGAAAUCCUACAGCUCAACUGUAGAACUGCACUUGAAACUACAGACCUAGAGUAUGGAAGGGGCAGAUGGAAUUAGUGGUGUAGGGGUAAAAUCCGUAGAUAUCACUAGGAAUACCGAAAGCGAAGGCGAUCUGCUGGGACAUUACUGACGCUGAGGCGUGAAAGCGUGGGGAGCAAACAGGAUUAGAAACCCCGGUAGUCC
rnacentral:rRNA from 1 species